ACCUUCUCUUCUCCAGGCUGAAAAGGACAACACAGAGCAAACCACUCAGUACUAAGCUUCCCAUCAGCUCCAGCUUCAACCCUGCAGGCUUUUGGACCCAAUGCCACCUACUUCCUUGUGUCAUUCUUUCCUGUCUCUCUCACGUGUCUCUAUAGAAGGAUGUGUCAUCCGUAGCAACGUGAUGUAAUCUCAAGCCCAACAGGCAAGUCCAAACAAUGCCCCUGACAGACUGAUGCCAGCAUGUUUUUCCAGCUCUCACAAUAGCUGAUAAGGGAAUUUAAACCCUCGGGGGAACUUGCACCUGACAGCAUGAGGCACAGCUGCUGCUCUUCAUACCUUUGUUGCUCUUUUCUGCUCCCUUGUGCUUUAUUUGCAAGGGAGACCCAAGGCUCAGCAUAACAGGAGCUCCAGCCUCUAAAAGCAUCAUUUCCCACCAAAAACAAAGGGCAAUGCCCGUAUUAAAUACCUUUCUAAGGCCUGCCAAACAGGGAUAAUUCUUACAAGAGCUCUUUGGAAAGGCAAUAUGAGGGACUGUUACAAUUAAGCUUGGCCUUCUUUCUUUUUCUUAUGUGUUUACUGAGAGCUUUUGGUUAUUCCAAAGAAGGAUUUUAUGCUAUCAGAGCAAGCAGGCUGUUACUAUGCGAUACCUUCACAUAGGACGGUGUCAGCUGUGCUCACACCCCGGUGUUAUCAGUGCUCACCUUCCUACAUGCAAUUAACAGCAGGAUCCGACCAUCAUCGCUGAUAUUAGAUAAGGGAAUUGCCAAUCCAUCACUUUAUCUCUGCUCCUCCCCAAGAGCAGAUAAAAUGGAAGAUAAAAGCUUUCACCUGUGCUUUCUUUCAUAGGAAUAACUGCAGUACAAAGGGGUUGAAAGCUCUCCAUGGGGUCUCAUGGUGCAUCCCAAGUCAAUGUGAUCUGCCUUCCCAGUGUGUGCUUAGCUGGUUCCAAGGGAGAACAGUGAAGAAGCAGCCACUGUGAUGCUGAUACUGGACUAAGGCAUGUUUCUUCUCUCCUAGCAAUCCACAGACAACAGUGUGCCACAUGUGGAGCAGCAUCAAACACUCUGGGGCUUAAAAACUGAGUAAAAUGCCCCAUGGCCAGAGAGAUAUACGAGGGAGGAAGAGCAUUCCCCUUGUACAUCUGAAUGCCCCAGGGCUGAGUUUGCAGCAUCUCAACCUCGUACCCCCUAAACAAUGGUGUGCAGAUUUUGCUCCUGUGCAACACCCUCAGUGUUUUCCUGCAGAAGAAUGGCUGAGCUCACAACGAUGUCACUGCACAUCAGAAGGAUAAAACCAUCUGUAUGGUUGUGAUAACAUCCCCUGGGACCUGGCACCACAGAGCAAAACCUCACCCGUGACAAACAGGAUUAGCCCUGUGCCGGAGAGCCUCAGCACCAGGGAUUCUGCCUCCUGGAGCUUCAGCAUCUGCCACGGAUCACGGUGUGUUAUGAGACAAGAGUGAGGCUCUGGAGAAGUUACCUGGGCAAAGCACAGUGGAACCCCUGCUGCAUUGCAGGGGGAGCACAUCAAGCAUCCAAGCCGCAUUACCAAGGUCAGCCUCAGCUUCCCAUACACACAGCUUUAUCAAAUCCUUUCCCAAGGCCCAGGCAAAGUGGUUACAGCCGUUGUCUCGCCUGUGAUUCAUUGCUGUGUGCUGAAAAAACAAACAAAAUGACACAGCGACGACUGAAUCAAUCGGCCUCACAUGAGUUCUGUGUUUCCCUGGCUGCAUUGUUUAAAAUCCUAACACAGCCAGCUGCAAUGUGCACGCUUUGAUUUAGAGAUUCAGCCAAGGACGGUGCUGCUUUAGCUCUGUGCUCUUAAAACCCGAGAUGGGCUGAGCACAAGGAGCAAACCCCACUGGCUUCAAUGAGGAGCAGCUCAGCUGCAGGAUGACACCUUAAUUAGCCCCUGGUAGCAGAAUCAAACCCAUUCUGGGGGUCUUCCAUCUGUCCCCAUGUUCCAGUGCCCCUCCAAACAUCACCCAGAGCCCAGCACAGUGCAUGAAGACACCCAUAGGGAUAUGAGCAACUACCACCAGGUGGCACUGGAACCUUG